UACGAAGGGGGCUAGCGUUGUUCGGAUUUACUGGGCGUAAAGGGCGCGUAGGCGGUGCGAUAAGUCAGGCGUGAAAGCCCCGGGCUCAACCCGGGAAUAGCGCUUGAUACUGUUGCGCUUGAAUCCAGGAGAGGAUGGCGGAAUUCCCAGUGUAGAGGUGAAAUUCGUAGAUAUUGGGAAGAACACCAGUGGCGAAGGCGGCCAUCUGGCCUGGAAUUGACGCUGAGGCGGCGAAAGCGUGGGGAGCAAACAGG
rnacentral:rRNA from 1 species